rnacentral:rRNA from 1 species
UGGGGAAUAUUGCACAAUGGGCGCAAGCCUGAUGCAGCCAUGCCGCGUGUAUGAAGAAGGCCUUCGGGUUGUAAAGUACUUUCAGUCGGGAGGAAGGUGUCAAGGUUAAUAACCUUGGCAAUUGACGUUACCGACAGAAGAAGCACCGGCUAACUCCGUGCCAGCAGCCGCGGUAAUACGGAGGGUGCAAGCGUUAAUCGGAAUUACUGGGCGUAAAGCGCACGCAGGCGGUUGAUUGAGUCAGAUGUGAAAUCCCCGGGCUUAACCCGGGAAUUGCAUCUGAUACUGGUCAGCUAGAGUCUUGUAGAGGGGGGUAGAAUUCCAUGUGUAGCGGUGAAAUGCGUAGAGAUGUGGAGGAAUCCCGGUGGCGAAGGCGGCCCCCUGGACAAAGACUGACGCUCAGGUGCGAAAGCGUGGGGAGCAAACAGG